CCUACGGGGGGCUGCAGUGGGGAAUAUUGCACAAUGGGGGAAACCCUGAUGCAGCGACGCCGCGUGAGGGAAGAAGGUUUUCGGAUUGUAAACCUCUGUCUUUGGUGACGAAAGAUGACGGUAGCCAAAGAGGAAGCUACGGCUAACUACGUGCCAGCAGCCGCGGUAAUACGUAGGUGGCAAGCGUUGUCCGGAAUUACUGGGUGUAAAGGGAGCGUAGGCGGGAAGACAAGUUGAAUGUUUAAACUAUCGGCUCAACCGAUAAUCGCGUUCAAAACUGUUUUUCUUGAGUGAAGUAGAGGCAGGCGGAAUGCCUAGUGUAGCGGUGAAAUGCGUAGAUAUUAGGAGGAACACCAGUGGCGAAGGCAGCUUACUAAACUGCCACUGACAUUGAUGCUCGAAAGUGUGGGUAUCAAACAGGAUUAGAUACCCUUGUAGUC
rnacentral:rRNA from 1 species